rnacentral:rRNA from 1 species
UAGGGAAUCUUCCACAAUGGACGCAAGUCUGACGGAGCAACGCCGCGUGAGUGAAGAAGGAUUUCGGUUCGUAAAACUCUGUUGUUAGAGAAGAACAGCGCAUAGAGUAACUGUUAUGCGUGUGACGGUAUCUAACCAGAAAGCCACGGCUAACUACGUGCCAGCAGCCGCGGUAAUACGUAGGUGGCAAGCGUUGUCCGGAUUUAUUGGGCGUAAAGCGAGCGCAGGCGGUCAAUUAAGUCUGAUGUGAAAGCCCCCGGCUCAACCGGGGAGGGUCAUUGGAAACUGGUUGACUUGAGUGCAGAAGAGGAGAGUGGAAUUCCAUGUGUAGCGGUGAAAUGCGUAGAUAUAUGGAGGAACACCAGUGGCGAAGGCGACUCUCUGGUCUGUAACUGACGCUGAGGCUCGAAAGCGUGGGUAGCAAACAGG